UACGUAGGCAGCAAGCGUUGUUCGGAGUUACUGGGCGUAAAGGGUGUGUAGGCGGUUCCUUAAGUUUGCUGUGAAAUCUCCCGGCUUAAACCGGGAGGGUGCGGUGAAUACUGAGGGACUAGAGUACGGGAGAGGAAAGUGGAAUUCCUGGUGGUAGCGGUGAAAAUGCGUAGAGUAUCAGGAGGGAACACCCGGUGGUGUAGA
rnacentral:rRNA from 1 species